UAAGCGCGAUAUCCUUCAUCGCAGCCUCCAAACCCUUGUCGUUCUGCGCCGCAUCUCCAAUACCACAAUUCACUACAAUCUUCUGUACCUUUGGAACCUG
rnacentral:sRNA from 1 species